rnacentral:rRNA from 1 species
UACGGAGGGUGCAAGCGUUAUCCGGAUUCACUGGGUUUAAAGGGUGUGUAGGCGGGUAUUUAAGUCAGGGGUGAAAUCUCCAGGCUCAACCUGGAAACUGCCAUUGAUACUAUUUAUCUUGAAUAUUGUUGAGGUAGGCGGGAUAUAUCAUGUAGCGGUGAAAUGCUUAGAUAUGAUAUAGAACACCGAUUGCGAAGGCAGCUUACUAAACAAUCAUUGACGCUGAGGCACGAAAGCGUGGGGAUCAAACAGG